rnacentral:rRNA from 1 species
UACGGAGGGUGCAAGCGUUAUCCGGAUUCACUGGGUUUAAAGGGUGCGUAGGUGGGAAUGUAAGUCAGUGGUGAAAUCUCCGUGCUUAACAUGGAAACUGCCAUUGAUACUAUGUUUCUUGAAUUUUCUGGAGGUCAGCGGAAUAUGUCAUGUAGCGGUGAAAUGCUUAGAUAUGACAUAGAACACCAAUUGCGAAGGCAGCUGACUACAGGGAUAUUGACACUGAGGCACGAAAGCGUGGGGAGUCAAACAGG